GUAGCACAAAAUUGCUGCUUAAGCGCUGAACAAGUGCUGUAUAAGAAUACCAAUGCUGCAAUAUAGUAUUAAAAUUGGCUGUAUUAUAGCUGUAGUGGCUCUGUUUCAGCCAAAAAGGGCCCCAAAUUAACCAGCCUGCGGUAUUAUAAUGGCUGAAAAUUGGCUGUGGUUUACGUUAAAAAAGGCUUAAUUAAAGCUGCAAUAAACUCUUCCUAAACGUUUCAUUCUGAUUAAGAUUAUCAUAUCCAGCCCUUGUGCAGCUUUUGACGUACGCGGUAUCCAAUUACAACUUAUUUUGCAGCUUUCCAUAUGAAAAUAUUUAUUAUUUUUAAAAUGUUUCCAAAGACGUCACGUCAUAACAAGAAAAAGAAAGAAGUUGAUAUUAUUUAACAGUGCAUCCAUUUUGAAUAAAAUAUUGUUUUUGGAGUUACGCUCACUCAUGCGAUGUCGAUCAAAAUUCUGAAAGCUUUUGAAGAUAGUAAAGCUAAACUGUGUACUGUCCCCAACCAGUGAGAGAACAAAGGAAUUUUAAAAUAUCCUGUGAUAUGCUUUGAAUAAUUACCGAUUAAGUACCCUAAUUACAUCAUUUUUGAAAUGUAGUUAAUAAAUAAUAAAAGUGUUCAUCAAAGUA